rnacentral:rRNA from 1 species
CCUACGGGAGGCAGCAGUGGGGAAUUUUGGACAAUGGGGGCAACCCUGAUCCAGCCAUGCCGCGUGAGUGAAGAAGGCCUUCGGGUUGUAAAGCUCUUUCGGCCGGGAAGAAAUCGCAUCGGUUAAUACCCGGUGUGGAUGACGGUACCGGAAUAAGAAGCACCGGCUAACUACGUGCCAGCAGCCGCGGUAAUACGUAGGGUGCGAGCGUUAAUCGGAAUUACUGGGCGUAAAGCGUGCGCAGGCGGUUUGUUAAGAUAGGCGUGAAAUCCCCGGGCUCAACCUGGGAACUGCACUUAUGACUGGCAAGCUAGAGCACGGCAGAGGGGGGUGGAAUUCCACGUGUAGCAGUGAAAUGCGUAGAGAUGUGGAGGAACACCAAUGGCGAAGGCAGCCCCCUGGGUCGAUACUGACGCUCAUGCACGAAAGCGUGGGUAGCAAACAGGAUUAGAUACCCUGGUAGUCCACGCCCUAAACGAUGUCAACUAGGCUUGGGAGGGUAAAACCUUUUAGACCGGAGCUAACGCUGAAGUUGACCGCCUGGGGAAGUCGGCCGCAAGGUUAAAACCNCGAAAGGUAAUUAGACGNGNGAGAGUUGCGAGACGACGACGAGGGAGAGG